UUUUGAAACUACUACUAGUAUUCUUUAAUGAUUGGCAAUGUUCUUAUAUUGACAAAAAAGACGUCUUGCCACCAUGGAGUAGUAUAGACAUCAAAUAGUGCUGGGCUGAAACUUCCUCGCUCUUUAGCUCGGCCCAAACGUCAUUUACUCUUUAUUUUCCCCAUCUUUUUCCACACGGGCCAAAACUAAAAAUCCCCCUCCACUGCCACAUCCCCGCUUGUCUCCGGCCAUGUCUUGUCUCCGGCCAUGUCUACCGUCUACCUCCUCCUCCGCGGCCGCCGCUCCUCUCGAAUCCCUUGCGGAGCUGCGCCUCACCCUUCUCCCCCGCGUCAUCCGCUGCGACCUCCGCAUCUUCCACUGCGAGAACCCACUCCGACCGAAUGGAUCUACUGGAAGGUGUCGCCGUGUCGGUGACAGAGCCGGAUGCCGCUGGCCGUGACCGUGAUCUCCAGCUCCUGCUCCUCAGUCCUCAUCAAGAUGAAGGUGUUGUUUACCUGAUGACCAGGAAGAAAUACAAGCAACCCAAGGCACGGGUUCUCGCUCUUCACACGAGGAACAAGACACUGCUGGGCGCAUCUGAAAAGCCAACCCUGUCCACCUGCCAUGUAAUGCUCUACUUAGUGCCAUUGCCAACUAUAUGAAUCCAGAGACGGACACAAGUAGGUGAUAAAGAAGGAUGCCUAGGAUGUUCCUUAAAGCCUGGAAAUAAAAAUUGAUCUCACUUGAGGCUCGUCCGUUGGAUGAGCUCCUUCGAUGUUUCAAGUCUUCAAAGUGUGGAAUUUUCAUGGCUGUUAUAGGAGGCAUACAGAGCAUACCCAUGGGUGUGCUGACUUGUGAGUUUGUAGUGGAAUGCAGGUCAUGUCGGGGGUCAAAAAUCAACAAUGUAACGCGUCCUGAAUUUCUGUCAUGAUGAGAUCACAUCUAGACUUGUUUGCAAAAGGAAGCUUCCAUCUA